rnacentral:rRNA from 1 species
UACGUAGGUGGCGAGCGUUGUCCGGAUUUACUGGGCGUAAAGGGCGUGCAGGCGGUUUGUUAAGUGCAGGGUGAAAGCUCCCGGCUCAACUGGGAGAGGUCCUUGCAUACUGGCGAACUCGAGGGAGGCAGAGGAAAGUGGAAUUCCCGGUGUAGUGGUGAUAUGCGUAGAUAUCGGGAGGAACACCUGUGGCGAAGGCGGCUCCCUGGCCUGUUCUCGACGCUGAGGCGCGAAAGCGUGGGGAGCAAACAGG